rfam:Mycobacterium bohemicum strain DSM 44277 contig_42, whole genome shotgun sequence.
CUUGAUCGACCCCAGCCACAGCGGCCGAUCCGCCGGCCUGCCCUGGCCGUAGGUGGCCAGCAGGGCCUGGGCCUC